rnacentral:rRNA from 1 species
GGCCGCGGGAAUUCGAUUAGAGUUUGAUUCUGGCUCAGGAUGAGCGCUGGCGGCGUGCUUACACAUGCAAGUCGAACGGACCUGUACUGAAACCUAGUGAUUUACAGGUUAGUGGCGGACGGGUGAGUAACGCGUGGAAAACCUGCCGUAUACUGGGGGAUAACACUUAGAAAUAGGUGCUAAUACCGCAUAAGCGCACAGGCCCGCAUGGGACAGUGUGAAAAACUCCGGUGGUAUACGAUGGUUCCGCGUCUGAUUAGCUUGUUGGCGGGGUAACGGCCCACCAAGGCGACGAUCAGUAGCCGGCCUGAGAGGGUGAACGGCCACAUUGGGACUGAGACACGGCCCAGACUCCUACGGGAGGCAGCAGUGGGGAAUAUUGCACAAUGGGGGAAACCCUGAUGCAGCGACGCCGCGUGAGUGAAGAAGUAUCUCGGUACGUAAAGCUCUAUCAGCAGGGAAGAAAAAAAGUCUUUGGCUUUGGACGGUACCUGACUAAGAAGCCCCGGCUAACUACGUGCCAGCAGCCGCGGUAAUACGUAGGGGGCAAGCGUUAUCCGGAUUUACUGGGUGUAAAGGGAGCGUAGACGGCAGCGCAAGUCUGGAGUGAAAUGCCGGGGCUCAACCCCGGAACUGCUUUGGAAACUGUGCAGCUAGAGUGCGGGAGAGGUAAGCGGAAUUCCUAGUGUAGCGGUGAAAUGCGUAGAUAUUANGAGGAACACCAGUGGCGAAGGCGGCUUACUGGACCGUAACUGACGUUGAAG